CGAAGUAAAAGUCGUAACAAGGUUUCCGUAGGUGAACCUGCGGAAGGAUCAUUAAAGAGAAUAUGCCCUUCGGGGUAGAUCUCCCACCCUUUGUUUAUAUUACCUUUGUUGCUUUGGCAGGCCCGUCUUCGGACCACCGGCUUCGGCUGGUCAGUGCUUGCCAGAGGACCCAAAACUCUUAUUAUUAAUGUCGUCUGAGUACUAUAUAAUAGUUAAAACUUUCAACAACGGAUCUCUUGGUUCUG
rnacentral:misc_RNA from 1 species